UACAGAGGGGGCAAGCGUUAUUCGGAAUUAUUGGGCGUAAAGGGCGCGUAGGCGGCUUGAUAAGGUUGCGGUGAAAGCCCGGGGCUCAACCCCGGGUCGGCCGUGGCAACUGUCGAGCUGGAGCACUGUAGAGGCAGGUGGAAUUCCGGGUGUAGCGGUGGAAUGCGUAGAGAUCCGGAAGAACACCGGUGGCGAAGGCGGCCUGCUGGGCAGUGGCUGACGCUGAGGCGCGACAGCGUGGGGAGCAAACAGG
rnacentral:rRNA from 1 species